rnacentral:rRNA from 1 species
AACAAACGCUGGCGGCGUACCUAAUACAUGCAAGUCGAACGGGGAAAGCUUUCGGGUGAGUACUAGUGGCGCACGGGUGAGUAAUGCGUGGAUAAUCUGCCUUGAAGAGGGGGAUAACCAGUCGAAAGAUUGGCUAAUACCGCAUAAGACCACAGGAACUGAGGUUCUAGAGGUCAAAGGUUUUUCGCUUCAAGAUGAGUCCGCGUAAGAUUAGCUAGUUGGUGAGGUAACGGCUCACCAAGGCGACGAUCUUUAACUGGUCUGGGAGGAUGAUCAGUCACCAUGGAACUGAGACACGUUCCAGACUCCUGCGGGAGGCAGCAGUAGGGAAUAUUGCACAAUGGAGGAAACUCUGAUGCAGCGACGCCGCGUGAGUGAUGAAGGCCUUCGGGUCGUAAAGCGCUGUCGCAGGGGAAUAACACAAUGAAGGUACCCUGUAAGAAAGGAUCGGCUAACUUCGUGCCAGCAGCCGCCGUAAGAC